rnacentral:rRNA from 1 species
AUUGAACGCUGGCGGCAGGCCUAACACAUGCCAGUCGAACGGUAACAGGAAGCAGCUUGCUGCUUCGCUGACGAGUGGCGGACGGGUGAGUAAUGUCUGGGAAGCUGCCUGAUGGAGGGGGAUAACUACUGGAAACGGUAGCUAAUACCGCAUAAUGUCGCAAGACCAAAGAGGGGGACCUUCGGGCCUCUUGCCAUCGGAUGUGCCCAGAUGGGAUUAGCUUGUUGGUGGGGUAACGGCUCACCAAGGCGACGAUCCCUAGCUGGUCUGAGAGGAUGACCAGCCACACUGGGACUGAGACACGGUCCAGACUCCUACGGGAGGCAGCAGUGGGGAAUAUUGCACAAUGGGCGCAAGCCUGAUGCAGCCAUGCCGCGUGUAUGAAGAAGGCCUUCGGGUUGUAAAGUACUUUCAGCGGGGAGGAAGGGAGUAAAGUUAAUACCUUUACUCAUUGACGUUACCCGCAGAAGAAGCACCGGCUAACUCCGUG